rnacentral:lncRNA from 1 species
UGAUAUAACACUAUUGAUAGCCUUCCUUCAUGCCUCGAUAUUAUUAUGUCAAGAUCCAUGCUAGUUUGUUGUGCUAACACAAAACUUGCAAUGGGGACUGAUGUUAUACUAUCUUGGUGCAUUAAGAUGCUUAUGGCAUAUUUUAAUAUAUUGCCUUGUUGUGUAACCACAAGGGCAAUAUUAUUCGAAUAUGACUAUAUGGAAAUGAAGGGUUUGACUUAACUAAAAUAUUAUUGUUUGUUGUGCUAACACAAGGCAAUAAGUAUUUUAAGAGGACAAGAUAAAGUUGAGAAUUGCAUGAGAUGCAAUUGGAAAGAGUUUCCUACCUUUGAACUCAUAAGAGUUUGUUGUGUAAACACAAGGCUUUUUAUGAUGAAUUAGGAUCUCAACCCUACUAAGAAAAAUUAUAUUUUCACGUUUAUCAUAGGAGAGGGCUAUGAUAUUCGAUAAAAAUAGUAGGAGACAAAUUAGAUUAAAGUCCUUAUCUAGUUGCAAACAUGUCAUCAUGAUUGGUCUGCUUAUAUUAGUUUUGUUCUUGCAUAUGUAGAAUUAUUAAAUGGCUUCUUCACUUUCACUAAGAGGCAUCUUAAAUGCCAAUAAGUUGACC